rnacentral:rRNA from 1 species
CCUACGGGAGGCUGCAGUAGGGAAUAUUGGACAAUGGGCGGAAGCCUGAUCCAGCCAUGCCGCGUGGAGGAUGACUGCCCUCUGGGUUGUAAACUCCUUUUGUACAGGAAGAAACCUCCUCAUUUAUGAGUGAGCUGACGGUACUGUAAGAAUAAGCACCGGCUAACUCCGUGCCAGCAGCCGCGGUAAUACGGAGGGUGCAAGCGUUAUCCGGAUUCACUGGGUUUAAAGGGUGCGUAGGCGGUUUUAUAAGUCAGUGGUGAAAUCAACGGGCU